GGGGGCACGGGGCAGUGCUGACCUCCCACCCCUCCUGUCCCUGCAGAGCUACCUGUUCCAGCUGCUGCAAGGCCUGGCCUUCUGCCACGCGCACCGCGUGCUGCACCGAGACCUCAAGCCUCAGAACCUGCUCAUCAACGCCGACGGUGCCAUCAAGCUGGCUGACUUUGGGCUGGCACGCGCCUUUGGGGUGCCUGUGCGCACCUACACGCACGAGGUGGUGACGUUGUGGUACCGUGCGCCUGAGAUCCUGCUGGGCUGCAAGUACUAUUCGACUGCCGUGGACAUCUGGAGCCUGGGUUGCAUUUUCGCCGAGAUGGUGACGCGGCGCGCGCUCUUCCCCGGGGAUUCGGAGAUCGAUCAGCUCUUCCGUAUCUUCCGCACGCUGGGGACACCGGAUGAGGCCGCCUGGCCCGGCGUCACCGCCCUGCCCGACUACAAGCCCAGCUUCCCCAAGUGGGCCCGGCAGGAUCUGGGCAAGGUGGUGCCGCCGCUGGAUGAGGAGGGCCGCAAGCUGCUGGCGCAAAUGCUGCACUACGAUCCCAACAAACGCAUCUCGGCCAAGGCAGCGCUGGGCCAUCCCUUCUUCCGUGAUGUCACCAGGGCUGUCCCCCACCUGCGCCUGUGAGCACUGGGCUGGGGGUGGGACGUUGGCUGCGGACGGCACGAGCACAGAGUGGGGCACUGGGACCCCCGGCCCCCAGGACUGCUCGGGGCGGGGACCCCCCCUUGCCUGGGCUCUCGGGCACUUACAGCUGGGGGCGAGGUGCGGGGGGGGAGGGACAGAGCCUUCCCCCUCCCUUUGUCCCCCUCUCCUCCGUCCCCGGGGUGGCAGUGGGGGUCCACCUCUUCCCUUCCCCCCGCGGGCUUUUCCUCGCUGACUUUUGUAACUUUUUUGCCAUUUUGUAGUUGACAUUUAAAGCUCUUUGUGCAGCUCCUGCGCAGCAGUGCCUGUGGGAUGUGGGGGGGGGUGGGUGUCUGGCCCCUAUAAACCCCCUCCACAGUGGGGUGGGAGCAGUCUGUCCUCUGUCACCUGCCUGCCGCUCUCACAGCACCAUCCUGUGCAUCUGUAGGGCCACUAUGCCCAUAGGGCUCCCCCAAACCCGC
rnacentral:lncRNA from 1 species